GCAGUGCCCUACUUAGAAAGGUGGCAGUUACUUACAUUACAUGUCACCGUGUCCUUUCUACGUAUAGUAAGGCU
rfam:Callithrix jacchus chromosome 4, whole genome shotgun sequence